CCUACGGGUGACAGCAGUGAGGAAUAUUGGUCAAUGGGAGAGAUCCUGAACCAGCCAAGCCGCGUGAGGGAAGACGGCCCUAUGGGUUGUAAACCUCUUUUGUCGGAGGACAAACCCCGGGACGUGUCCCGGACUGCGUGUAUCCGACGAAAAAGCAUCGGCUAACUCCGUGCCAGCAGCCGCGGUAAUACGGAGGAUGCUAGCGUUAUCCGGAUUUAUUGGGUUUAAAGGGUGCGUAGGCGGUCCGUUAAGUCAGCGGUAAAAUUGCGGGGCUCAACCCCGUCGCGCCGUUGAAACUGGUAGACUUGAGUUGGCGAGAGGUACGCGGAAUGCGCGGUGUAGCGGUGAAAUGCAUAGAUAUCACGCAGAACUCCGAUUGCGAAGGCAGCUUACGAAGCCAUAACUGACACUGAAGCACGAAAGCGUGGGGAUCAAACAGGAUUAGAUACCCGAGUAGUC
rnacentral:rRNA from 1 species